AUUGAACGCUGGCGGCAUGCCUUACACAUGCAAGUCGAACGGCAGCACGGGUGCUUGCCCCUGGUGGCGAGUGGCGAACGGGUGAGUAAUACAUCGGAACAUGUCCUGUAGUGGGGGAUAGCCCGGCGAAAGCCGGAUUAAUACCGCAUACGAUCUACGGAUGAAAGCGGGGGACCUUCGGGCCUCGCGCUAUAGGGUUGGCCGAUGGCUGAUUAGCUAGUUGGUGGGGUAAAGGCCUACCAAGGCGACGAUCAGUAGUUGGUCUGAGAGGACGACCAGCCACACUGGGACUGAGACACGGCCCAGACUCCUACGGGAGGCAGCAGUGGGGAAUUUUGGACAAUGGGCGAAAGCCUGAUCCAGCAAUGCCGCGUGUGUGAAGAAGGCCUUCGGGUUGUAAAGCACUUUUGUCCGGAAAGAAAUCCUUGGCCCUAAUACGGUCGGGGGAUGACGGUACCGGAAGAAUAAGCACCGGCUAACUACGUG
rnacentral:rRNA from 1 species